GUGUGCCGAUUUUCAUUUAUUUUUGAAGUGCUUUAUUUGAUAGAGCACCUGCCUAAAUUUUUCUGGAUGUGCACACAUUUUCGUUAUUCCAUGUUUUCUAUCAAACAAUACAAACCUUUUGACUCUCCUUGCUACUUUGGACUUUUUUUUUAUAUGUCACUCAGAAAAAACAACACUUAAAAUGGCUUAAGGGGUUAAAUUUUAUUCCUUACUGUUUCAGGUGCGUUGCGAAGCACUCCACAAGGUAAAGAGGCUUCCAAGGCAGAGUUUUCAGAGGCAGUGAAAAAAUGGUUGCGUUAUGCUCUAGACCGAGAGGGUGGCAGUGGCAGAAGAUCAUCUGUUUAAUCUGUUUAAUCUUUAAUCUGUUCUUUCAAAACCUUUCAAUUUUGUGCGUCAAUCUUUGACUGUUUUGUUUGGCUAAAUUAAUUACAGUUGUUCUUUAAAAAAAAUGUUAUAUCCCAGUAUAGGGAAUUACUUUUAUCUAUAUUUUUAUCUAAUCUCUGUAAUAACUAAUCUGUACAUGCAUACAUUUCUCUUAAUUAUUCAUAAAAUACUGAUAAAUUGUAUAUAAUUUGAGUUGAUAAAUUAAGUUUAGUAUAGUAUAUGUUUAUUUAAAUUAUAUUCAAAAAUUGUGUGUAAUAUUACAGUAUAUAUGAUAUGUACAAAAUUACUUCAAUUGUCCUUGAAGUAAAAUUUCAGCUAGCUUUUAAGUGUAUUGGCAUCUUAUUGGUGAAUGAGGUGGAUAAACACUUUUUACUGAAAGAUUUUAGGUUUAAACAUUUUAAAAUCAUUACCCCAGGUUGUUUCAGUGUGAAAAAGCCUAUAGGGUAAAUAAUCAGCUAAACGAGGUAGGCUACAAAUAUAUUGUUACAUUGCUUGUAGUUAUAAUAAUUAAUUGAACUACAAUGAUAACAGGAUAUUGUGGUUAUCAAUAUAUUUUAUUUCUCUAUAGGUCUAUGCCAAUGAUGCCAACACCAUACAGCACAGUCAUUCAUUCCACUUAAAGAGUGGAACAUCAACAUAUUGUACCAUUGUAUUUAUCCAAAUAAGGGUCUCUGGGAUCCCCAGUUGAAGGCAUCAGGACAUCAGAUGUUGGCCUGGACAGAUGUACCAACAGUACACCACACUGACCUCUCUGCUUUUGCAUGGAUGGCUGACUACUACCAUGUUCUGUUAGGGUAUUACUAUAGCAAAACAGAACACCUGUGACAGUGGGAUUUGUAGUUUUAAAGAACAGUCACACAUCAGUAAAUUUAAAGUUGUAGAGAAACUUUAACUCAUUUAGAAACUUUUUUUUUAGAAGUUUAAAUUUUUUUUUUCUCACUCUCUCUCUCACCUUUUCAAAUUAUCUUCUGGAGGUGCACAAAUCCUAUUCUACAAAUCAUAAAUUAAGAAAUUCAUAUGCUCACUUUUUUUAUUACGAACUUCCAUGGUGAUGAUGAGUUUUACCUGUCCAUGAUUUAGAAAUACCGCAGCUAACUGAAAUCGACAUGAUUAUUAAACAAGUAAAUGCUAGUUAGAACUUAAUAUUUUUUUAUGUUACCACAAGGGUAAGCUAAACAGUGUAGAUGAUUCACAAAAUCAUACACACAAGAAAUGUGCAUGAUUGGCCAAAAUGUUUGUAAUGUUUGAGAUUGAGAUGGUAGAUCCAAGUGCAAACUUUAUUAAAAGAGUGUAGUCACACAAGCAGGAGGUCAAACACCAGUCCAAAAAGAGGCAAAUAUUAGGGCAUGCAAUAAACGAUCACAAUCCAGGAAACAGUCCAAAGUCAAAAAUACAGACAGGGCAAGAAACACAGAGACAAGGUAUAGAAAACAAGGCGCAAUGCAGGGCUAAACAAUACUCAGCAAUGUGUGUGUGUUUGAGUGCAGCUUAUAAAGUCUCAAUGAUGGAAAACAGGUGUGAUUGUGUGAUUGGUUCCUAUGGGGAAUUGUGGGAAAUGUAGUCCAGAGUGAUGUCUGACUGUGUGUGAAAUGACUGUGUGUGCUUUACAAAAAUUUGAGCCUAUGAGUUUAUAUUUGUAUACAGUGUUGGGAGUAACGCAUUACAAAAGUAAUUAUACUAGUAAUAUAUUAUUUAUUGCUUUUUUGCAGUAAUAUAACGCAUUAUUGAUAAAAUUUGGGUAAUUUUACAAUCUCAGUAAUGCACGUUACAACAACGCAUUUUAACCCGAAAUUAAGUGGUUUUCGUUUUAUUUUUUACCAACACCGCAAGACAUUCCAGCACCAGAUAAAAAAAAAAUAUAUGAAUAAAAUAGUCUGUCUAAUUUCCUGCUGCUGGAAUUCGAUGGUUGAGAUGACUGCAGAGAUGGAUUCUACAUUUGUGAGAUGGACAUAGCUACUCCCAUUAUUUUCAGAGAAAAUAACAUAAUAGUCAAGCGCAAUAUUGCAAACUAUGUGCGGCACUAAGGAAACCUUCUAGAAAGCACUUGAAAAGACACAUGGACCGGUGCCACGCUGAGCUUCAGUGUCGGAGAAGAGAAAGAAUGCACCAGACGAGAGCGCGGGCAAGACAUAUGUAGAAAUAUCAGUGAGCUGCGAGUGCACAGCCUACACGUUUUGUUGCUCAUCAAUAUCGGACUUGCGCAUGUCUAAUGUACGACUCCCGUAUGUCACUGUAAUCGUCUUUACCUCUUUACGUUAUCCAUCAAAACAUUUUUUUUUUGUAUUAAUAAUUCAAUUAAUUAAUUAAUUAAUUAAUUAUAUUAAUACAUUUAAAUUAAUUUAAGUUACCUCAAAGCCCCCCUUGAGGAUCACUGGCCUACACAUGCUAUAGAAUUCGUACGAUUUUAUACGGUUUUUGCUAAAUCGUACAUAUUUUACAAAUUCGUAUGAAUUCAUACGAAUGACCUACCCCAAACCCCGCCCCUAAACCUACCCGUCACUAGGGUUUCAACGAAAUCGUUCGAAUUCGUAGGAGUGAGGUCCUAUGAAUUAGCCACCUUGUAAAAUAUGUACGAAUUGGUCGUGAGAUAGCGUUGGCUAUACCACAUUGCCCUUACUGGAUGUAUAAUGAGCAGCAAUAAACUACAUUUUAGCAUUUUAUGCCGUCAAACUUCUGUGGUUAUUUUAGUAAAAGUAACUAAAAAGUAACGCAAAAGUAACAUAACACAUUACAAUUUAGAGACAGUAAUGUUGUAAUGUAACUAAUUACUUUCAAAUGACAGUAACUAGUAAUAUGUUAUGUAUUACAUUUUGGAAGUAACUUGCCAAACUUUGUUUGUAAAUAAACUGUAGGAUUUGUGCACCUGCAAUGAAGAAUUUGAAAAGGUGUAACUGCUGUUUUGUUCUUGUGUGUGUGUGUGUGUAAGAGAGAGAGAGAGAGAGAGAGAGAGAGAGAGAAACAUGUUUGCAACUCCUAAAACAUUUUCUCAAUGACUUAACUGAAAUACUACAUUACAACUUCCACUGUCACAGAUGCUCAGUUUUGCUACAAUAAUAAUACAAUGCAUGCAUAAUUUGAGUCCAUAUUUUGAUCUUUUUUUUCCAAGCACAUUUUACCAGUGACAAACCACAUAACUAAUUUUGUAUAUAAUCCACAGUAUCGGUCAAAAGUUUUGAAACAUUACUAUUUUUAAUAUUUUUAAAAGAAGACUCUUGUCAAGACUGCAUUUAUU